AUGUUCCAGGGUUGAGUGAAGAGCCAAUGAGAUGGCGUCUGCUGUGGACCUGUUGCUCCGGUUGGUAAAUUGGAAUGGAUCCAAGUGGCUUCUUAGGCAGGAGUUGAUGUGUUGCAACACCAACUUCUCAAAGACUUCAUCACAGUGGAUGUAAGGGCUACUGGAUGGUAGUCAUUGAAGCAGCCUGCAGGUCACCCUUGGGCAAGGUGUAGCAUCUGCUUAGCCCCUGAUCAGGGUCACAUGAAGCCAUGGGAGCAGGUGGUGGAUGGUCGUAUGAGCAGCCGGUGCACAUCACAAGAUCUGGUUACGCGACCACUGACACCAGGCAGACAAUCUCUGAAGAGUAUUGAUAAUGGCUGGGGUCACCCGUCUUGUAAAGACACUGCCCAGAAGAGGGCAAUGGUAAACCAUUUCCAUGGGAAGUUUGCCAAGAACAAUCAUGGGCAUGGAUGGAAAAAAGAAUAAGAAGGGGGUAUUAAAGAUAGACAGGAGACCAUGAUAUCCCAUGUCAUAUAACCUGGCACAUAGUGAUGAUGAGGAUGAUGAUGAGAAUGAUAAAUCACUUACUGUGACAGAGCUCGCAAUCACCUCAGGUGUCCUCUUCACCAUUCCCCCUCUCUUUAUACCAUCUCCCUUCUCCACUCUCAGUCCUGAUCCCUGGUUUCGAUCCAAAGCAUUGGCAAUUUCCUUA